CUGGAAUUGCUGGAGGAACGUGGUGUAAGGCUAGACUGCAUUGUGACAGACCGACAUCCCCAGAUUCAAAAGUUUCUGAGAGAACGAAACAUCACACAGUACUAUGAUGUCUGGCAUUUGGAGAAAGGGUUGUCAAAGAAUCAGAGCAAAUUGCCAGAGACAAGGACUGUUCAAUAGUGAAAAAGUGGCAGCACAGCAUAAGAAACCAUCUCUACUGGACUGCAGCAUCCUCUACUUCAGGACCAGAGAAGGUAGCCAAGUGGAAGUCACUCAUCAAUCACAUUCAGGAUGUUCACAUCCAUGAUGAUCCAUUAUACCCACAAUGUGAACAUUCACAUCGAGAGUCUAAGGGCAGCAGUAAACGCUUCAAACCUGGUUCAAAACCACUUUACAGAGUCGAAAAGGUGCUGACUAACAACAGAGUCCUCAAAGAUGUAGCAAAGCUCAGCCCUCACUUCCAGACCUCAUCCUUGGAGGCCUUUCACAGUGUUAUUUUACGCUUUGCCCCCAAAAGUGUGGUAUUUCCUUUUAUUGGAAUGCUGUGCAGGUUGUAUUUGGCAGGCAUGCAUUUCAAUGAAAAUUCUAACCGUCCAAAGGCUACUACAUCAUCUGGAAAGCCAAUGUACAGACUUUUGUUCCC